CUGGUUUCACGUGGUGGUUUAGAUGUGUCUCCUCAUCGUCUAGCACCAUUUGAAAUCAGUGU
rnacentral:pre_miRNA from 1 species